CAGUAGGGUGCCAUCAAGAGGUGUAUUUGGAA
rnacentral:rRNA from 1 species